AAGAAAUAGAAAAAGUCGGGAACCUGGCAAGCUGCCUAACUGCUCUGUGCGUCGGUGUCCUCACCUGUGAUGCGGGGACAAAGCUGAAGAAGCCAGCAACCUGAAAACACCAAUGGGCACAGACAGAAGAACCUGCUCGCUCCAGCCAGAGACGUAUGAGGACUUGUAGGUCUGAAGAUUUGAGUGGAUAAAAUUCCAUCAUAAAAAUAAGAUGAAAAAGGGAGCUUCAGGAAAGCUGUCUUCUCUAAGUCACAUAAAGCUGGACUCAAACUUUUUGCCUCUACAAUUUUUUUUCACAAUACUGGGAUGACACCAAAAGGACUUAGGGAAAAGAAAAGGGCA
rnacentral:lncRNA from 10 species